rnacentral:rRNA from 1 species
UAACACAUGCAAGUCGAGCGGAAACGAUGAUAGCUUGCUAUCAGGCGUCGAGCGGCGGACGGGUGAGUAAUACUUAGGAAUCUACCUAGUAGUGGGGGAUAGCUCGGGGAAACUCGAAUUAAUACCGCAUACGUCCUACGGGAGAAAGCAGGGGAUCUUUGGACCUUGCGCUAUUAGAUGAGCCUAAGUCGGAUUAGCUAGAUGGUGGGGUAAAGGCCUACCAUGGCGACGAUCUGUAGCUGGUCUGAGAGGAUGAUCAGCCACACCGGGACUGAGACACGGCCCGGACUCCUACGGGAGGCAGCAGUGGGGAAUAUUGGACAAUGGGGGGAACCCUGAUCCAGCCAUGCCGCGUGUGUGAAGAAGGCCUUUUGGUUGUAAAGCACUUUAAGCAGUGAAGAAGACUCUUCGGUUAAUACCCGGGGACGAUGACAUUAGCUGCAGAAUAAGCACCGGCUAACUCUGUGCCAGCAGCCGCGGUAAUACAGAGGGUGCAAGCGUUAAUCGGAAUUACUGGGCGUAAAGCGAGCGUAGGUGGCUUGAUAAGUCAGAUGUGAAAUCCCCGGGCUUAACCUGGGAACUGCAUCUGAAACUGUUAGGCUAGAGUAGGUGAGAGGGAAGUAGAAUUUCAGGUGUAGCGGUGAAAUGCGUAGAGAUCUGAAGGAAUACCGAUGGCGAAGGCAGCUUCCUGGCAUCAUACUGACACUGAGGCUCGAAAGCGUGGGUAGCAAACAGGAUUAGAUACCCUGGUAGUCCACGCCGUAAACGAUGUCUACUAGUCGUUGGGUCCCUUGAGGACUUAGUGACGCAGCUAACGCAAUAAGUAGACCGCCUGGGGAGUACGGCCGCAAGGUUAAAACUCAAAUGAAUUGACGGGGGCCCGCACAAGCGGUGGAGCAUGUGGUUUAAUUCGAUGCAACGCG